UCUGACCGCAGCUGGGAAGCGGCUUCACGUUCAGGGCCCUGUGUGCUGACACGGGCGCUGGGAUAAUCCUGGGCGGUCUCCCCAUCUCCAGUGAAUGGACAGUGACGAGUUUGACCCCCUGGGUGUGGAGUCAGACCACCUGCGUUUGCACCUGCUGCCGACAGACCUGCUCCUCACCUCUCUGAAUCCCAGUGUUCUCGUCUGUCACGGGGAGCAGGACUCGUUCCCAGCUUGCAGGUUGGCUGUGUGCACUCAGGAGAUAACCUUGUGACGGGCUUGACACAGCACUUUGUACACACUGGGUGCUCCAGAGAUGCCAGGACUAGAAAUGGCCUGGACAGCUGACUCGUCUGGGGUGGAGUCUGAGCGUACCCUGAAGCAUCCUUGUACAUUUGAAGCUGUUUCCUGGAUGAUUCUCUCUCACCAUGGCAUGUGAGAGAACUUAAGCUUUAAGAGGUUGCGCAAUUCGCUCAAAUUUGUCCAGCUCAAAGUGCAAUCGUGAAGCCUGAAGAUAUUGGAUGCCUUGGAAGAGGAAUACAGCCUUGGAGGCACAGCCUGGGGAUGUCUUACUAUGACCUUUCACUCCUUCCUAAGCCAAGAAAAGAAAGUGGGUCCAACUGGCUGUUAGAAAAGCUUCCCCAAAGGUUUGGAUAAACUGAGUGGUUUCAGGCACCCUGUGACCCUGCAGGCAGGCUGCAAUGUGGCUGUCCCCGCCAUGGGGAGAGAGUCUUGUUUUCCUCCCCAGCAGAGCUGGGCUGGGGUUUCUGAUAGUGUUUGACUUAGCAAGUCUCCGCAUGAGCCGCUGAUCUGGUGUUGGAACAAAGCAGCAGGGAGGGAGGCCCCGCGUGGAUGAGUCAGGCGGAGACGAGGCCUCGUUUCUUGUUGAACGCUGUCCCCCUCCAGCUAUGUGCUUUUCCCCAACAGCCAAGCUUGGUCCGCACAAGUCUGGGCUGCCCUCUCCCCACCAAGGCAAACCCUGUCAAUAGCAGGAGAGAAAAAAAGGCCACGACUACACGUGAGAAGCUGUGCUUUCAGGGGAGGAUCAAGAGCCCUUCACCUCGCCCAACACUGUUUGCAUUUUGUAGAACAAACACUGGAGUUUAAGUUACAUCCUCGAAUUCAAUAUUUGGCAUGGGAUAAUAAUCGCUGGUGACUUCUCCACGUGGUGCCAGCUGGGCCGAGUACCAGGUGAGCAAGACAGGGCCGUUCCCUGUUUUCAAGGAGUUACAGCCUGUGGGGGAGACAGAACAGUACCCAAGCGCUUGGAGUCGAGGAUGGUCAUUGUUACGAGAUGGAGGCCGUCUAGUUUGAUUGUAUUGAGCUGAGCUGCACAACUGAGAUGCAUCCAAGAACAGUGGCUUCUCCUCCAGGACCCCGGGAGCCCUGCUGGCCCUGCAAUUUGGGAACAUUUAUAACCAGUGUCUUCCUGGCCACAUCGUAGUAUGACCUUUGGAAAUGCCACUUUCUCGAAUAAUAAAAUGAAGGGAAAAAUUUCCUCUCUUCUACCUACCAAAUGGGACAUUUGGAUAAUUUUCAAGAGAAAAAGAUCUGCUCCCAAAAGUGACACUUUGCUUGUUUAUUCAGCAACUACUCAUUGAGUAUCUCUUGGAUCCUGGGUGUGCUGUGUAUUGUGAAUAUAGCAAUGCUCAGGGAGAAAAACCCUGGGUAGUUAAUUAUGCAGAAACCCUUCUAUUACAAUUACGUAAAUGCGUCCAAGGAAACGCUCAGUUUAUAAGAAGAGUGUGUGCUGGGCAAGUGGCUGGGGAAGAAGUAUGACAUCCUGGGGCUGACGGAUAGUAAGAAGACCCUCUCUGGGACGCCGCUUAUUGCUGCUGGUGCACCAAAGGAGACGAGGGAGCAAUCUUUGAGCGAGAAGAGAGAAGCAAGCGCGGACAACAUGUGGCUGUUAAGAGCCCAGAGACCUUCUCGUCAGGACGCAGUGCUUCCUUCAGACCACGUGGUCAGAACACCGUUUCUUAAAGUGUGGUCCGUGUACCAUCUACCUCAGAGUCCCUGGGAUGCUUGUUAAAUCUGAAGGUUCCCAGACUCCGAUCCACUGAAUCCCAAUGCGGGUGCAUCAGGAGUCAGCAUUCUGAACUAGCUCCCUGGCGAUUUUUACACACUCGAUGAUUUGAGGACUUUUGCACUGAUUUAGAUGCUCGUGUAUGAGACCCUCAAGUGACCUCUGCGCCCUUUCGCUUUUGUCUCUGAAUCAAGUCUGGGAUUACUUCACAGGGAACAUAAAGGAAAGUCACCAGUCAGGCAUUUGGAAGCAGCGAGGAGCCAACUUCAUUCUAGGUGAAAUUGAAAUCUUCACAGUGUGGAAAAGUGGAAAGAGAACUGAACUGGAAACCGUAACUUUUGUUUGAGUUUGGCUCUGUCACUCACUAUGUAUGGCCAUGGAAAGUAAUUUCUCCUCUCUCGUUGUUUGCUUGUUCAUAAAAUGAUAGCAUUUUCCAAACUUCAGUCAACGGAGUACCACCUUCAAAAUUGCAUCACCUGUGCUGUUAGAAAUAUUUUUCUUUUAAUAAUUACUUGAGUUUAAUUUGAAAAGGAGCUUUAUAUCAUUACUAUAAAUGGAGAACCAAUCAUCACUUACUAUAAUUAGAAAGUCAUACCUGUAAAAUAUAUAACAAUUAAAAAAUUUAGGGGGCUGGCCCCAAGGUGCAGUGGUUAAGUUUGCACACUGUGCUUCAGCAGCCCGGGGUUCACAUGCUUGCAUCCUGGGUGCAGACCUACAUGCUGCUCAUCAAGCCAUGCUGUGGCAGGUCCCACAUACAAAAAAAUAGAGGAAGAUUGGCACAGAUGUUAGCUCAGGACCAAUCUUCCUCAGCAAAAAAUAAUAAAAAAAAAUUUUAAUUUAAAAAGUUUAUCCCUGAGGCUCUAAUUAUCAACUGUUAAUGUAUGAUACUGUUAUCAUAUUUUGGGAAACAGCAAAUUAGAUGCUAUUUAAGACCAUUUUCUUUUUUAUAGAUCUAAGUAUUUAUUGGAGUAUCAUGCAAAUGGUUAUUUCAUUAUUUCUGGGAGGAAAAAAAAGUCCAAAUUCAUGAAGCAAUUUCUGAAAAAUCAACCUUGGGUAUUGUUAGGCAAAAAUUCCAUAACAAAAGCUAUGAAAAAACAAUGACCUUUUUUUCUCAAAAAGAAGAAAGCAUUUAAUGCUACUCAAAUCUUUAAUUAAAUGCUUAUAUCAGAUAUACAGUAUUAAAACAAGAAAUAUUUUCCCUAAUUAUAUCUGCUACUUUCAUCUGUUUCUUUUUUCAAAUCAUUAAAACUAGAACAAAUUAGAAAAAAUGUUACAGUGUUAGCAGAAAUGAAAUUCCAAAUCUAUUUACAGUUUACUUAUUGUGCAUCAUUUUUUCCUACUUUAUUGAGAUAUAAUUGAUGUCUAACAAUGUGUAACUUUAAGGUGUACAGUGUGUUGACUUGAUAUACUUACAUGUUGCAAUAUGACCACCAGCACGCAAUAACUACUGGAGUGCUAGCCAACACCUCCAUCACCUCACAUAGUUACCAUUUCUUUUUGUGGUGAGAACAUUUAAGAUCUAAUCUCUUAGCAACUUUCGAGUACACAGUACAGUAAUCUGUGCUAUAAAAGAUGACAGUUCUGGCAGAAAUGAAAUUCCAAAUCUAUUCACACUAUACUGAUGGUCCCUCAUUUUUCCCAGCCUUAUUGAGAUAUAAUUGACAGAAGUGGGGUUGCUGGAUCAUAUGAUAGCCCUAUUUUUAGUUUUUUGAGGAAACUCUAUAUUAUUUUCCACAAUGUGUGUACCAAUUUACAUUCCCACCAAAGGUGCACAAGGCUGCUCCUUUCUCCACAUCGUCACCAACACUUAUUUCGCGUCUUUUUGAUGACAGCCGUUCUAACAGGUGUGAGGUGAUGUCUCAUUGUGGAUUUGAUUUGCAUUUCCCUGAUGAUUAGUGAUGUUGAGCACCUUUUCACGUAGCUGUUGGCCACUCGUAUGUCUUCUCUGUAAAAUGUCUAUUCAGUUCCUCUGCCAAUAUUUUAAUUGGAUUUUUCUGUUGUUUUUAUUGAGUUGUAUGAGUUCUUUAUAUAUUUUUGAUAUUAGUCCCUUAUCAGAUAUAUGGUUCAGAGCACCUAAAUAUAUUAAGCAGAUACUAACAGGUUUGAAGGGAGAAAUAGACAACAAUAUGAUAUUGGUAGCAGACUUCAGUACCCUGCUUUCAGCAAUGGUUAGAUCAUUCAGACAGAAAUCAGCAAGGAAACCUUGGGCUUGAACCAUGUUUUAGGCCAAAUGGACCUAACAGACAUAUAUAGAACAUGCCAGCCAAUAGCAGCAGAGGGCACAUCCACAUGGGGCCAGAAGUGCUUCUUUCCCCACCCCCUCAGGGGAGACGGGCUGGCUGGAAGGGUCUGCAGUUGGGUAUUUCCCUCCCCCCAGGUAGGUUGGGCUCUGAGACAACGGAGCAGAUUAGGCUCCAGUGAAACAGUUUCUCCUGAGGGCUGGCUUUGUCAGGAACAGAAUAAUCUGGUACAUUUCAAAACAACUCCUUUUCCCCUCCCCCUGCUGGAAGAACAGGGGGUUUUUCUGUGAUAUUCACUCUGAG
ensembl:lncRNA